GGAGGGAAAGGAGGGAGAGUGGUGCACGGGGGAACAGGAGGAAUGGGUCACCUUUGACCCGCGCGACCCAAGCUUCCAAAUCGGCGGGUUUUCGCCGUUUCGUCCAAUUUUCCAACGAAUUGGAUCAAGGACCUAGAACAAAGCCCAAGAGGUAGUAGAGGCGUUGGAACAAGUUUGAAGGUCGAAUUGGAAACACCAAAUUCUAGGGUUCUUCACGGUUUUGGUGAAAUUGAAGCACUUCCAGGCCAAAUUGGCCUUGGCCACAGGCGCUAAUCUUCAUGACGCCUUGAUGUACGGUGCUAGGAAGUUGUUGGGCGAACUCCAGGUCCUAGAUGGCAGAGCUUUGGUGGCCACGAGGAAUCCAACGGUGUUCUAACAGAAUUCACAAAAGUAGGACUCACCCUCG
rnacentral:sRNA from 1 species